rnacentral:rRNA from 1 species
GAGUUUGAUCAUGGCUCAGAUUGAACGCUGGCGGCAUGCUUUACACAUGCAAGUCGGACGGCAGCACAGAGGAGCUUGCUUCUUGGGUGGCGAGUGGCGAACGGGUGAGUAACGCAUCGGAACGUACCGAGUAGUGGGGGAUAACUGUCCGAAAGGAUGGCUAAUACCGCAUACGCUUUGAGAAGGAAAGCGGGGGAUCUUCGGACCUCGCGCUAUUCGGGCGGCCGAUGUCUGAUUAGCUAGUUGGUGGGGUAAAGGCCUACCAAGGCGACGAUCAGUAGCGGGUCUGAGAGGAUGAUCCGCCACACUGGGACUGAGACACGGCCCAGACUCCUACGGGAGGCAGCAGUGGGGAAUUUUGGACAAUGGGCGCAAGCCUGAUCCAGCCAUGCCGCGUGUCUGAAGAAGGCCUUCGGGUUGUAAAGGACUUUUGUCAGGGAAGAAAAGCUUUGGGUUAAUA